rnacentral:rRNA from 1 species
AUGAGACGCUCUCGCGUGCUUAACACAUGCAAGUCGAACGGUGAAGCCCAGCUUGCUGGGUGGAUCAGUGGCGAACGGGUGAGUAACACGUGAGUAACCUGCCCCUGACUUUGGGAUAACUCCGGGAAACCGGGGCUAAUACCGGAUAUGAGCUCUUGCCGCAUGGUGGGGGUUGGAAAGAUUUAUCGGUUGGGGAUGGGCUCGCGGCCUAUCAGCUUGUUGGUGGGGUGAUGGCCUACCAAGGCGACGACGGGUAGCCGGCCUGAGAGGGCGACCGGCCACACUGGGACUGAGACACGGCCCAGACUCCUACGGGAGGCAGCAGUGGGGAAUAUUGCACAAUGGGCGCAAGCCUGAUGCAGCGACGCCGCGUGAGGGAUGACGGCCUUCGGGUUGUAAACCUCUUUCAGCAGGGAAGAAGCGCAAGUGACGGUACCUGCAGAAGAAGCGCCGGCUAACUACGUGCCAGCAGCCGCGGUAAUACGUAGGGCGCAAGCGUUGUCCGGAAUUAUUGGGCGUAAAGAGCUCGUAGGCGGUUUGUCGCGUCUGCUGUGAAAUCCCGAGGCUCAACCUCGGGCUUGCAG